rnacentral:rRNA from 1 species
UCAUCUCCGGGGGUAGAGCACUGUUUCGGCAAGGGGGUCAUCCCGACUUACCAACCCGAUGCAAACUGCGAAUACCGGAGAAUGUUAUCACGGGAGACACACGGCGGGUGCUAACGUCCGUCGUGAAGAGGGAAACAACCCAGACCGCCAGCUAAGGUCCCAAAGUCAUGGUUAAGUGGGAAACGAUGUGGGAAGGCCCAGACAGCCAGGAUGUUGGCUUAGAAGCAGCCAUCAUUUAAAGAAAGCGUAAUAGCUCACUGGUCGAGUCGGCCUGCGCGGAAGAUGUAACGGGGCUAAACCAUGCACCGAAGCUGCGGCAGCGACACUAUGUGUUGUUGGGUAGGGGAGCGUUCUGUAAGCCUGUGAAGGUGGCCUGUGAGGGUUGCUGGAGGUAUCAGAAGUGCGAAUGCUGACAUAAGUAACGAUAAAGCGGGUGAAAAGCCCGCUCGCCGGAAGACCAAGGGUUCCUGUCCAACGUUAAUCGGGGCAGGGUGAGUCGACCCCUAAGGCGAGGCCGAAAGGCGUAGUCGAUGGGAAACAGGUUAAUAUUCCUGUACUUGGUGUUACUGCGAAGGGGGGACGGAGAAGGCUAUGUUGGCCGGGCGACGGUUGUCCCGGUUUAAGCGUGUAGGCUGGUUUUCCAGGCAAAUCCGGAAAAUCAAGGCUGAGGCGUGAUGACGAGGCACUACGGUGCUGAAGCGACAAAUGCCCUGCUUCCAGGAAAAGCCUCUAAGCAUCAGGUAACAUCAAAUCGUACCCCAAACCGACACAGGUGGUCAGGUAGAGAAUACCAAGGCGCUUGAGAGAACUCGGGUGAAGGAACUAGGCAAAAUGGUGCCGUAACUUCGGGAGAAGGCACGCUGAUAUGUAGGUGAAGCGACUUGCUCGUGGAGCUGAAAUCAGUCGAAGAUACCAGCUGGCUGCAACUGUUUAUUAAAAACACAGCACUGUGCAAACACGAAAGUGGACGUAUACGGUGUGACGCCUGCCCGGUGCCGGAAGGUUAAUUGAUGGGGUUAGCGGUAACGCGAAGCUCUUGAUCGAAGCCCCGGUAAACGGCGGCCGUAACUAUAACGGUCCUAAGGUAGCGAAAUUCCUUGUCGGGUAAGUUCCGACCUGCACGAAUGGCGUAAUGAUGGCCAGGCUGUCUCCACCCGAGACUCAGUGAAAUUGAACUCGCUGUGAAGAUGCAGUGUACCCGCGGCAAGACGGAAAGACCCCGUGAACCUUUACUAUAGCUUGACACUGAACAUUGAGCCUUGAUGUGUAGGAUAGGUGGGAGGCUUUGAAGUGUGGACGCCAGUCUGCAUGGAGCCGACCUUGAAAUACCACCCUUUAAUGUUUGAUGUUCUAACGUGGGCCCCUUACCGGGGUUGCGGACAGUGUCUGGUGGGUAGUUUGACUGGGGCGGUCUCCUCCUAAAGAGUAACGGAGGAGCACGAAGGUUGGCUAAUCCUGGUCGGACAUCAGGAGGUUAGUGCAAUGGCAUAAGCCAGCUUGACUGCGAGCGUGACGGCGCGAGCAGGUGCGAAAGCAGGUCAUAGUGAUCCGGUGGUUCUGAAUGGAAGGGCCAUCGCUCAACGGAUAAAAGGUACUCCGGGGAUAACAGGCUGAUACCGCCCAAGAGUUCAUAUCGACGGCGGUGUUUGGCACCUCGAUGUCGGCUCAUCACAUCCUGGGGCUGAAGUAGGUCCCAAGGGUAUGGCUGUUCGCCAUUUAAAGUGGUACGCGAGCUGGGUUUAGAACGUCGUGAGACAGUUCGGUCCCUAUCUGCCGUGGGCGCUGGAGAACUGAGGGGGGCUGCUCCUAGUACGAGAGGACCGGAGUGGACGCAUCACUGGUGUUCGGGUUGUCAUGCCAAUGGCACUGCCCGGUAGCUAAAUGCGGAAGAGAUAAGUGCUGAAAGCAUCUAAGCACGAAACUUGCCCCGAGAUGAGUUCUCCCUGACUCCUUGAGAGUCCUGAAGGAACGUUGAAGACGACGACGUUGAUAGGCCGGGUGUGUAAGCGCAGCGAUGCGUUGAGCUAACCGGUACUAAUGAACCGUGAGGCUUAACCUU